UCCUCUGAUCAGUGGCGAACGGGUGAGUAACACGUGAGCAACCUGCCCCAGACUCUGGGAUAACAGUUGGAAGCAGCUGCUAAUACCGGAUACGAGACGGAGAGGCAUCUCUACCGUCUGGAAAGUUUUUCGGUCUGGGAUGGACUCGCGGCCUAUCAGCUAGUUGGUGAGGUAAUGGCUCACCAAGGCGACGACGGGUAGCCGGCCUGAGAGGGCGACCGGCCACACUGGGACUGAGACACGGCCCAGACUCCUACGGGAGGCAGCAGUGGGGAAUAUUGCACAAUGGGCGAAAGCCUGAUGCAGCGACGCCGCGUGAGGGAUGAAGGCCUUCGGGUUGUAAACCUCUUUCAGCAGGGAAGAAGCGAAAGUGACGGUACCUGCAGAAGAAGCACCGGCUAACUACGUGCCAGCAGCCGCGGUAAUACGUAGGGUGCGAGCGUUGUCCGGAAUUAUUGGGCGUAAAGAGCUUGUAGGCGGUUUGUCGCGUCUGCAGUGAAAAUCCGGGGCUCCAACCCCGGACUUGCUGUGGGUACCGGCCAGACUAGAG
rnacentral:rRNA from 1 species